rnacentral:sRNA from 1 species
AUUCCGUCAGACGUCUGCAGGAUUUGUCUUGUCUUUUUUUUUUUUUUUUUUUUUCUUCUUAAAUACAAAGAAGACCCAAAGGGUGGAUAAGUGUACGUUCAUUAUAAAUAAAUGGAAAGGGAAAGAAAAGACGAGUGAGGUGCUCAGCUUUAAGGGCUACUGGGAAAAACUGAACUCCAACCUAGAAUAUGUUAAGUACGCCAAGCCACACUUCCACUAUAACAACAGUGUGGUCAGGAGAGAGUGGCACAACCUGAUCUCUGAAGAGGUAUGAGUGGGUCAGUGAGAACAAAGCCAGCAGCGAGGCAUAGUGGACUGGAUCCAGGGCCAAGAUUAACACCCCUCCUGCAGGAGGAAGACAGCCACCAGCGGCUGCUCAUGGGGCUGAUGGUGUCUGAGCUAAAAGACCAUUUUUUGAGACACCUACAGGGUGUAGAAAAGAAGAAAAUUGAACAGAUGGUUCUGGACUACAUUUCAAAACUGCUGGAUCUCAUUUGCCACAUCGUAGAAACCAGUUGGAGGAAACAUAAUCUUCAUUCCUGGGUUCUCCACUUCAAUAGUCGUGGCAGUGCUGCUGAAUUUGCAGUUUUUCACAUCAUGACCAGGAUUCUGGAAGCUACAAACAGUUUGUUUUUACCUCUGCCUCCUGGUUUUCAUACUCUGCACACCAUCCUCGGGGUCCAGUGUCUCCCUUUGCAUAACCUGCUGCAUUGCAUUGACAGUGGAGUGUUGCUUCUCACUGAAACAGCUGUCAUAAGGCUCAUGAAAGAUCUGGAUAAUACAGAGAAAAAUGAAAAACUGAAAUUCAGUAUCAUUGUGCGGCUUCCUCCGCUUAUUGGGCAGAAGAUUUGUAGACUUUGGGAUCAUC